UACAGAGGUCUCAAGCGUUGUUCGGAUUCAUUGGGCGUAAAGAGCGUGUAGGCGGCCCGGUAAGUCCGCUGUGAAAGUCAAAGGCUCAACCUUUGAAUGUCAGCGGAUACUGCCGGGCUAGAGUCCGGAAGAGGAGAGUGGAAUUCCUGGUGUAGCGGUGAAAUGCGCAGAUAUCAGGAAGAACACCCGUGGCGAAGGCGGCUCUCUGGGACGUAACUGACGCUGAGACGCGAAAGCGUGGGGAGCAAACAGG
rnacentral:rRNA from 1 species